rnacentral:tRNA from 1 species
GCACGGAUGGCUGAGUGGUCUAAAGCGUCAGACUCAAGAUCUGAUGAACGUAAGUUCGCA